rnacentral:rRNA from 1 species
GUGGGGAAUCUUGCGCAAUGGGCGAAAGCCUGACGCAGCCAUGCCGCGUGAAUGAUGAAGGUCUUAGGAUUGUAAAAUUCUUUCACCGGGGACGAUAAUGACGGUACCCGGAGAAGAAGCUCCGGCUAACUUCGUGCCAGCAGCCGCGGUAAUACGAAGGGGGCUAGCGUUGCUCGGAAUUACUGGGCGUAAAGGGCGCGUAGGCGGACAGCUUAGUCAGAGGUGAAAGCCCAGGGCUCAACCUUGGAAUUGCCUUUGAUACUGGCUGUCUUGAGUUUGGGAGAGGUGAGUGGAACUCCGAGUGUAGAGGUGAAAUUCGUAGAUAUUCGGAAGAACACCAGUGGCGAAGGCGACUCACUGGCCCAAUACUGACGCUGAGGCGCGAAAGCUAGGGGAGCGAACGGGAUUAGAAACCCUGGUAGUCC